rnacentral:tRNA from 1 species
GCCCGCGUAGCUCAAUUGGCAGAGCAGGGGACUCUUAAUCCCAAGGUUCUCGGUUCGAUUCCGGGCGCGGGCA